AACGUAGGAGGCAAGCGUUAUCCGGAAUGAUUGGGCGUAAAGCGUCCGCAGGUGGCUGUGUAAGUCUGCUGUCAAAGAGCGAAGCUCAACUUCGUAAAGGCAGUGGAAACUACACGGCUAGAGUGCGUUCGGGGCAGAGGGAAUUCCUGGUGUAGCGGUGAAAUGCGUAGAGAUCAGGAAGAACACCGGUGGCGAAGGCGCUCUGCUAGGCCGCAACUGACACUGAGGGACGAAAGCUAGGGGAGCGAAUGGG
rnacentral:rRNA from 1 species